rnacentral:lncRNA from 1 species
UGCGCCACAGCCUGCUGGGCGGGACCAUGUGUGGCGUUGAUGCUAACGAGUUAAUAUGGCCACCGCUGCUUUUCUGAAAUUGAAUGUUCCCAGGGUGAGUGACAGCCUCCCGCCUCUCCAGGAGGCUCACAAGGACCAGCAGAAACUUACAGGAUAAGCUGGCAUAAUUAAAUUACCAGCCUUUUACAGAUUGUGCCACUGAUGUUUACUUACAUACUGAAGUCACUCACUUGUGCCCAACUCUUUGCGAUGCCAUGGACUACAGCCUACUAGGCUCUUCCAUCCAUGGGAUCUUCCAGGCAAGAGUACUGGAGUGGGGUGCCAUAUCCUUCUCCUUACUUACGUAAGUUCCUAUUAAUAUGCUUGGUGUUAUGUAUAGG